GCAGUUUUUGGAGCCGAAGGUCAAGAUAAACAAGAUUUUCGAGAAGGGUGCAAUUGCGGCCCGCAUUCGGGGCAUUCCUGCAUUUGACAUCGACCCUAAGCACACAGCCAAGACAACACAGUAGUGACUUCAGGACAAGUCUCUCAAUGUCCUUGAGUGUCCCAGCCAGAGCCCGGACCUGAACCCGAUCAAACAUCUCUGGAGAGACUUGAAAAUAGAUGUGCAGCGACGCUCCCUAUCUAACCUGACAGAGCUUGCGAGGAUCUGCAGAGAAGAAUGGGAGAAACUCACCAAAUACAGGUGUGCCCAUACCCAUGAAGACUCGAGGCUGUAAUCGCUGCCAAAGGUGCUUCAACAAAGUACUGAGCAAAGGGCCUGAAUACUUAUGUAAAUGUGAUUUUUCCGUUUUUUAUUUGUAAUAAAUUAGCAAAGAUUUCUAAAAACCUGUUUUUGCUUUGUCAUUAUGGGGUAUUGCGUGUAGAUUGACCAAAAAAGUCAAGGUGUCUGAAUAAUUUCUGAAUGCACUGUAUUUCAGACCCCUUGACUUUUUCCACAUUUUGUUAGGUUACAGCCUUAUAAUAAAAUUUAUUAAAUUGUUAUUUUCCCUCUCAUCUAUCUACACACAAUACCCCAUAAUGACAAAGCAUAAAGACGUUUUUAGACAUUUUUGCUAAUUUAUUAAAUAAUAAAAAACAGAAAUAAUACAUUUCCAAAUCAUGUCCAAUCAAUUGAAUUUACCACAGGUGGACUCCAAUCAAGUUGUAGAAACAUCUCAAGGAUGAUCAAUGGAAACACGAUGCACCUGAGCUCAAUUUCAAGUCCCAUAGCAAAAGGUCUUAAUACUUAUGUAAAUAAUGUAUUUCUGUUCAAAUUAUUUUAUGAAUUUGCAAAAAAAAAAAGGUUUUCACUUUGAAAUUCUGGAAUAUUGUGUGUAGAUUGCUAAGGAUUUGUAUUUAUUUAAUACAUUUUAGGAUAAGGCUGUAACGUAACAAAAUGUUGAAAAAGUCAAGGGGACUGAAUACUUUCUGAAGGCACUGUACAUAUACAUAUAUUAAUACAUUUUUUUGUGAAAUUAGUCUACAAGCAUGUCACUACACCCACAAUAACAUCUGCUAAAUAUGUGUAUGUGACCAAAACCUUUAAUUUGAUGGACCCCAGUUACCCAUCCCUGUAUUAAAUGAAUCAAGCCCUA